rnacentral:rRNA from 1 species
UACGAAGGGGGCUAGCGUUGCUCGGAAUCACUGGGCGUAAAGGGCGCGUAGGCGGACUUUUAAGUCGGAGGUGAAAGCCCAGGGCUCAACCCUGGAAUUGCCUUCGAUACUGGGAGUCUUGAGUUCGGAAGAGGUUGGUGGAACUGCGAGUGUAGAGGUGAAAUUCGUAGAUAUUCGCAAGAACACCGGUGGCGAAGGCGGCCUGCUGGGCAGUAGCUGACGCUGAGGCGCGACAGCGUGGGGAGCAAACAGG